rnacentral:rRNA from 1 species
CGGGGAGGAGCCCAGAGCCUGAAUCAGUGUGUGUGUUAGUGGAAGCGUCUGGAAAGGCGCGCGAUACAGGGUGACAGCCCCGUACACAAAAAUGCACAUACUGUGAGCUCGAUGAGUAGGGCGGGACACGUGGUAUCCUGUCUGAAUAUGGGGGGACCAUCCUCCAAGGCUAAAUACUCCUGACUGACCGAUAGUGAACCAGUACCGUGAGGGAAAGGCGAAAAGAACCCCGGCGAGGGGAGUGAAAAAGAACCUGAAACCGUGUACGUACAAGCAGUGGGAGCCUCUUAAUGGGGUGACUGCGUACCUUUUGUAUAAUGGGUCAGCGACUUAUAUUCUGUAGCAAGGUUAACCGAAUAGGGGAGCCGAAGGGAAACCGAGUCUUAACUGGGCGUUAAGUUGCAGGGUAUAGACCCGAAACCCGGUGAUCUAGCCAUGGGCAGGUUGAAGGUUGGGUAACACUAACUGGAGGACCGAACCGACUAAUGUUGAAAAAUUAGCGGAUGACUUGUGGCUGGGGGUGAAAGGCCAAUCAAACCGGGAGAUAGCUGGUUCUCCCCGAAAGCUAUUUAGGUAGCGCCUCGUGAAUUCAUCUCCGGGGGUAGAGCACUGUUUCGGCAAGGGGGUCAUCCCGACUUACCAACCCGAUGCAAACUGCGAAUACCGGAGAAUGUUAUCACGGGAGACACACGGCGGGUGCUAACGUCCGUCGUGAAGAGGGAAACAACCCAGACCGCCAGCUAAGGUCCCAAAGUCAUGGUUAAGUGGGAAACGAUGUGGGAAGGCCCAGACAGCCAGGAUGUUGGCUUAGAAGCAGCCAUCAUUUAAAGAAAGCGUAAUAGCUCACUGGUCGAGUCGGCCUGCGCGGAAGAUGUAACGGGGCUAAACCAUGCACCGAAGCUGCGGCAGCGACACUAUGUGUUGUUGGGUAGGGGAGCGUUCUGUAAGCCUGUGAAGGUGUACUGUGAGGUAUGCUGGAGGUAUCAGAAGUGCGAAUGCUGACAUAAGUAACGAUAAAGCGGGUGAAAAGCCCGCUCGCCGGAAGACCAAGGGUUCCUGUCCAACGUUAAUCGGGGCAGGGUGAGUCGACCCCUAAGGCGAGGCCGAAAGGCGUAGUCGAUGGGAAACAGGUUAAUAUUCCUGUACUUGGUGUUACUGCGAAGGGGGGACGGAGAAGGCUAUGUUGGCCGGGCGACGGUUGUCCCGGUUUAAGCGUGUAGGCUGGUUUUCCAGGCAAAUCCGGAAAAUCAAGGCUGAGGCGUGAUGACGAGGCACUACGGUGCUGAAGCGACAAAUGCCCUGCUUCCAGGAAAAGCCUCUAAGCAUCAGGUAACAUCAAAUCGUACCCCAAACCGACACAGGUGGUCAGGUAGAGAAUACCAAGGCGCUUGAGAGAACUCGGGUGAAGGAACUAGGCAAAAUGGUGCCGUAACUUCGGGAGAAGGCACGCUGAUAUGUAGGUGAAGCGACUUGCUCGUGGAGCUGAAAUCAGUCGAAGAUACCAGCUGGCUGCAACUGUUUAUUAAAAACACAGCACUGUGCAAACACGAAAGUGGACGUAUACGGUGUGACGCCUGCCCGGUGCCGGAAGGUUAAUUGAUGGGGUUAGCGGUAACGCGAAGCUCUUGAUCGAAGCCCCGGUAAACGGCGGCCGUAACUAUAACGGUCCUAAGGUAGCGAAAUUCCUUGUCGGGUAAGUUCCGACCUGCACGAAUGGCGUAAUGAUGGCCAGGCUGUCUCCACCCGAGACUCAGUGAAAUUGAACUCGCUGUGAAGAUGCAGUGUACCCGCGGCAAGACGGAAAGACCCCGUGAACCUUUACUAUAGCUUGACACUGAACAUUGAGCCUUGAUGUGUAGGAUAGGUGGGAGGCUUUGAAGUGUGGACGCCAGUCUGCAUGGAGCCGACCUUGAAAUACCACCCUUUAAUGUUUGAUGUUCUAACGUGGGCCCCUUACCGGGGUUGCGGACAGUGUCUGGUGGGUAGUUUGACUGGGGCGGUCUCCUCCUAAAGAGUAACGGAGGAGCACGAAGGUUGGCUAAUCCUGGUCGGACAUCAGGAGGUUAGUGCAAUGGCAUAAGCCAGCUUGACUGCGAGCGUGACGGCGCGAGCAGGUGCGAAAGCAGGUCAUAGUGAUCCGGUGGUUCUGAAUGGAAGGGCCAUCGCUCAACGGAUAAAAGGUACUCCGGGGAUAACAGGCUGAUACCGCCCAAGAGUUCAUAUCGACGGCGGUGUUUGGCACCUCGAUGUCGGCUCAUCACAUCCUGGGGCUGAAGUAGGUCCCAAGGGUAUGGCUGUUCGCCAUUUAAAGUGGUACGCGAGCUGGGUUUAGAACGUCGUGAGACAGUUCGGUCCCUAUCUGCCGUGGGCGCUGGAGAACUGAGGGGGGCUGCUCCUAGUACGAGAGGACCGGAGUGGACGCAUCACUGGUGUUCGGGUUGUCAUGCCAAUGGCACUGCCCGGUAGCUAAAUGCGGAAGAGAUAAGUGCUGAAAGCAUCUAAGCACGAAACUUGCCCCGAGAUGAGUUCUCCCUGACUCCUUGAGAGUCCUGAAGGAACGUUGAAGACGACGACGUUGAUAGGCCGGGUGUGUAAGCGCAGCGAUGCGUUGAGCUAACCGGUACUAAUGAACCGUGAGGCUUAACCUUACAACGCCGAAG